GAGCGCUGUCAUACUGAGUACAGGAG
rnacentral:piRNA from 1 species